rnacentral:rRNA from 1 species
GAUGAACGCUGGCGGCGUGCCUAAUACAUGCAAGUCGAGCGAACGGACGAGAAGCUUGCUUCUCUGAUGUUAGCGGCGGACGGGUGAGUAACAUGUGGAUAACCUACCUAUAAGACUGGGAUAACUUCGGGAAACCGGAGCUAAUACCGGAUGAUAUUUUGAACCGCAUGGUUCAAAAGUGAAAGACGGUCUUGCUGUCACUUAUAGAUGGAUCCGCGCUGCAUUAGCUAGUUGGUAAGGUAACGGCUUACCAAGGCAACGAUGCAUAUCCGACCUGAGAGGGUGAUCGGCCACACGGGAACUGGGACACGGUCCAGACUCCUACGGGAGGCAGCAGUAGGGAAUCUUCCGCAAUGGGCGAAAGCCUGGCGGAGCAACGCCGCGUGAGUGAUGAAGGUCUUCGGAUCGUAAAACUCUGUUAUUAGGGAAGAACAUAUGUGUAAGUAACUGUGCACAUCUUGACGGUACCUAAUCAGAAAGCCACGGCUAACUACGUG